rnacentral:lncRNA from 1 species
UCAGAUUCUCCUUUCCUCGAUCAUAUAACCAACCCCCAUCAUCUCUUAUCACCAGAUCAGUCUGUUUAUAAAGUAGAGCUGCCCUGGUUAUCACUCAACAAGAAUGACCAUCCAAGGACAACAACAAGUAUCACAUGACCAAAAAGGAUUCUAGAGACAAGAGGGAGGAUCCAACUUGAUACCCACAGGUGCCUCGAUUGCUGAAAGGCACACUAAUUCCAGCCAAGGUAAUCAUCAUCGCCCUAGCACGAACACCACUUGAGCAUAAAUAAGCAACACCUUUAAAUACAAAUAAAAAUGGUUCAGGGAUCAUUGCAUAUCCGCCACACACGCCAUCACCGGCGCCGCUGAUAUGCCGCCCUCCUCCAUGGCCGUUGCCGCCGCCGUCGUGGUUGGUGGGAGCCACCUACGUAGGAGGGAGGGAGGCAGCUGCAGGAGCGAGUGAGAGAGGAGGCGGCGGCUAGGUCUCCCAUGGCAGCGGCCCCCUUUAUACCCCCUCCUAAGCAAAAUGACCGAAAUGCCCUGGUGGGGGCACGAUAUUUAGAAUUUGUUGCCAUUGGAAUUUUAUCCGACGGCCCAGGUCGAUCGGGGUCAAAAUCGGAUGGCUCACGGCGAUCAGGCACGAGAUCGGACGGCCGGUAUCGCGAGGGACUUUCGAUCGGACGGCCAGAAUGCUCUAAUCGCUGAGAACGCUCAGGUUGCGAUCCGUCUCAUGUUUCUGGUUUCAGGGUUCAUUGCAUUGCGGGCUCAGAUUCACCUUUCCUCGAUCAUAUAACCUACCCCCAUCAUCUCUUAUCACCAGAUCAAUCUCUUCAUACAAUGGAGCUGCCCUGGUUAUCACUCAACAAGAGUGACCAUCCAAGGACAACAACAAGUAUCACAGUGAAGGAAAUAUGCCCUAGAGGCAAUAAUAAAGUUAUUAUUUAUUUCCUCAAAUCAUGAUAAAUGUUUAUUAUUCAUGCUAGAAUUGUAUUAACCGGAAACAUGAUACAUGUGUGAAUACAUAGACAAACUUAAUGUCACUAGUAUGCCUCUACUUGACUAGCUCAUUAAUCAAAGAUGGUUAUGUUUCCUAACCAUAGACAUGUGUUGUCAUUUGAUUAAAGAGAUGACAUCAUUAGGAGAAUGAUGUGAUUGACUUGACCCAUUCAGUUAGCCUAGCACUUGAUCGUUUAGUAUGUUGCUAUUGCUUUCUUCAUGACUUAUACAAAGUUCCUACAACUAUGAGAUUAUGCAACUCCCGUUUACCGGAGGAACACUUUGUGUGCUACCAAACGUCACAACGUAACUGGGUGAUUAUAAAGGAGCUCUACAGGUGUCUCCAAAGAUAGAUGUUGAGUUAGCGUAUUUCAAGAUUAGGUUUUGUCACUCCGAUUGUCGGAAAGGUAUCUCUGGGCCCUCUCGGUAAUGCACAUCACUAUAAGCCUUGCAAGCAAUGUGACCAAUGAGUUGGUUACGGAAUGAUGCAUUACGCAACGAGUAAAGAGACUUGCCGGUAACGAGAUUGAACUAGGUUUUGGAUACCGACGAUUGAAUCUCGGGCAAGUAACAUACCGAUGACAAAGGGAAACACGUAUGUUGUUAUGCGGUUUGACCGAUAAAGAUCUUCGUAGAAUAUGUAGGAGUCAAUAUGAGCAUCCAGGUUCCGCUAUUGGUUAUUGACCGGAAAUAGUUCUAGGUCAUGUCUACAUAGUUCUCGAACCCGUAGGGUCCGCACGCUUAACGUUACGAUGACAGUUUUAUUAUGAGUUUAUAAGUUUUGAUGUACCGAAGGUUGUUCGAGUCCCGGAUGUGAUCACGGACAUGACGAGGAGUCUCGAAAUGGUCGAGACAUAAAGAUUGAUAUAUUGGAAGCCUAUAUUUGGAUAUCAGAAUUGUUUCGGGUGAAAUCGGGAUUUUUCCGGAGUACCGGGGGGUUACUGGACCCCCCCCCCCCGGGGGUUAAUGGGCCUACAUGGGCCCUAAGGGAGAAGNNNNNNNNNNNNNNNNNNNNNNNNNNNNNNNNNNNNNNNNNNNNNNNNNNNNNNNNNNNNNNNNNNNNNNNNNNNNNNNNNNNNNNNNNNNNNNNNNNNNNNNNNNNNNNNNNNNNNNNNNNNNNNNNNNNNNNNNNNNNNNNNNNNNNNNNNNNNNNNNNNNNNNNNNNNNNNNNNNNNNNNNNNNNNNNNNNNNNNNNNNNNNNNNNNNNNNNNNNNNNNNNNNNNNNNNNNNNNNNNNNNNNNNNNNNNNNNNNNNNNNNNNNNCCUACAAGGCAAGAGGGGGGAGUCCUACUCCCGCUGGGAGUAGGACUCCUCCAGGCGCACCCCUAGGGGCCGGCCGCACCUCCCCCCUCCCUCCUUUAUAUACGAGGGCAGGGGGCACCCCAUGACACACAAGUUGAUCUUCAUGAUCGUUCCUUAGCCGUGUGCGGUGCCCCCUCCACCAUAUUCCACCUCGAUCGUAUCGUUGCGGUGCUUAGGCGAAGCCCUGCGUCGGUAGAACAUCAUCAUCAUCACCACGCCGUCGUGCUGACGGAACUCAUCCCCGACACCCUGCUGGAUCGGAGUCUGGGGAUCGUCAUCGAGCUGAACGUGUGCUGAACUCGGAGGUGUCGUACGUUCGUUGCUUGGAUCGGUCGGAUCGUGAAGACGUACGACUACAUCAACCGCGUUGUCAUAACGCUUCCGCUUUCGGUCUACGAGGGUACAUGGACACACUCUCCCCUCUAGUUGCUAUGCAUCACCAUGAUCUUGCGUGUGCGUAGGAAUUUUUUUGAAAUUACUAUGUUCCCCAACAGUGGCGUCCGAGCCUAGGUUUUAUGCAUUGAUGUUAUAUGCACGAGUAGAACACAAGUGAGUUGUGGGCGAUACAAGUCAUAUUGCUUACCAACAUGUCAUAUUUUGGUUCAGCGGUAUUGUUGGAUGAAGCGGCCCGGACGGACAUUACGCGUAUGCUUACGCGAGACUGGUUUUACCGCCGUGCUUCGCACACAGGUGACUAGCGGGUGUCUGUUUCCCCAACUUUAGUUGAACUGAGUGUGGCUACGCCCGGUCCUUGCGAAGGUUAAAACAGCACUAACUUGACGAACUAUCGUUGUGGUUUUGAUGCGUAGGUAAGAACGGUUCUUGCUCAGCCCAUAGCAGCCACGUAAAAUUUGCAACAACAAAGUAGAGGACAUCUAACUUGUUUUUGCAGGGCAUGUUGUGAUGUGAUAUGGUCAAGACGUGAUGCUAUAUUUUAUUGUAUGAGAUGAUCAUGUUUUGUAACCGAAGUUAUCGACAACUGGCAGGAGCCAUAUGGUUGUCGCUUUAUUGUAUGAAAUGCAAACGCCCUGUAAUUGCUUUACUUUAUCACUAAGCGGUAGCGAUAGUCGUAGAAGCAAUAGAUGGCGUAACGACACCGAUGCUGCGAUGGAGAUCAAGGUGUCGCGCCGGUGAUGAUGAUGAUCACGAUGGUGCUUCGGAGAUGGAGAUCACAAGCACAAGAUGAUGAUGGCCAUAUCAUAUCACUUAUAUUGAUUGCAUGUGAUGUUUAUCCUUUAUGCAUCUUAUCUUCCUUUGAUUGACGGUAGCAUUUUAAGAUGAUCUCUCACUAAAUAAUCAAGAAGUAUUCUCCCUGAGUAUGCACCGUUGUGAAAGUUCUUCGUGCUGAGACACCACGUGAUGAUCGGGUGUGAUAGGCUCUACGUUCAAAUACAACGGGUGCAAAACAGUUGCACACGCGAAAUACUCAGGUUAAACUUGACGAGCCUAGCAUAUACAGAUAUGGCCUCGGAACACAGAGACUGAAAGGUCGAGCGUGAAUCAUAUAGUAGAUAUGAUCAACAUAGUGAUGUUCACCAUUGAAAACUACUCCAUCUCACGUGAUGAUCGGACAUGGUUUAGUUGAUUUGGAUCACGUGAUCACUUAUAUGACUAGAGAGAUGUCUGUCUAAGUGGGAGUUCUUAAGUAAUAUGAUUAAUUGAACUUAAAUUUAUCAUGAACUUAGUACCUGAUAGUAUUUUUGCUUGUCUAUGUUUGUUGUAGAUAGAUGGCUCGUGCUGUUGUUCCGUUGAAUUUUAAUGCGUUCCUUGAGAAAGCUAAGUUGAAAGAUGAUGGUAGCAAUUACACAGACUGGGUCCGUAACCUGAGGAUUAUCCUCAUUGCUGCACAGAAGAAUUACGUCCUGGAAGCACCGCUGGGUGCUAGGCCUGCUGCAGAUGCAACUAACGACGUUAAGAACGUCUGGCAAAGUAAAGCUGAUGACUACUCGAUAGUUCAGUGUGCCAUGCUUUACGGUUUGGAACCGGGUAUUCAACGAUGUUUUGAACGUCAUGGAGCAUAUGAGAUGUUCCAGGAGUUGAAGUUAAUAUUUCAAGCAAAUGCCCGGAUUGAGAGAUAUGAAGUCUCCAAUAAGUUCUAUAGCUGUAAGAUGGAGGAGAAUAGUUCUGUCAGUGAACACAUACUCAAAAUGUCUGGGUAUAAUAAUCACUUGAUUCAACUGGGAGUUAAUCUUCCUGAUGAUAGUGUCAUUGACAGAAUUCUUCAAUCACUGCCACCAAGCUACAAGAGCUUCGUGAUGAACUAUAAUAUGCAAGGGAUGGACAAGACUAUACCCGAGCUCUUCGCAAUGCUAAAGGCUGCGGAGGUAGAAAUCAAGAAGGAGCAUCAAGUGUUGAUGGUCAAUAAGACCACCAGUUUCAAGAAAAAGGGCAAAGGGAAGAAGAAGGGGAACUUCAAGAAGAACAGCAAACAAGUUGCUGCUCAAGAGAAGAAACCCAAGUCUGGACCUAAGCCUGAGACUAAGUGCUUCUACUGCAAGCAGACUGGACACUGGAAGCGGAACUUCCCCAAGUAUUUGGCUGAUAAGAAGGAUGGCAAAGUGAGCAAAGGUAUAUGUGAUAUACAUGUUAUUGAUGUGUACCUUACUAAUGCUCGCAGUAGCACCUGGGUAUUUGAUACUGGUUCUGUUGCUAAUAUUUGCAACUCAAAACAGGGACUACGGAAUAGGCAAAGAUUGGCUAAGGACAAGGUGAUGAUGCGCGUGGGAAAUGGUUCCAAAGUCGAUGUGAUCACGGUCGGCACGCUACCUCUACAUCUACCAUCAGGAUUAGUUUUAGACCUAAAUAAUUGUUAUUUUGUGCCAGCGUUGAGCAUGAACAUUAUAUGUGGAUCUUGUUUGAUGCGAGACGGUUAUUCAUUUAAAUUAGAGAAUAAUGGUUGUUCUAUUUAUAUGAGUAAUAUCUUUUAUGGUCAUGCACACUUACAGAGUGGUCUAUUUUUAUUAAAUCUCGAUAGGAGUGAUACACAUAUUCAUAAUGUUGAAACCAAAAGAUGCAGAGUUAAUAAUGAUAGUGCAACUUAUUUAUGGCACUGCCGUUUAGGUCAUAUCGGUGUAAAGCGCAUGAAGAAACUCCAUACUGAUGGACUUUUGGAAUCACUUGAUUAUGAAUCACUUGGUACUUGCAAACCGUGCGUCAUGGGCAAGAUGACUAAAACGCCGUUCUCCGGAACUAUAGAGCGAGCAACUGAUUUGUUAGAACUCAUACAUACCGAUGUAUGUGGUCCAAUAAAUGUCGAAGCUCGCGGCGGGUAUCGUUAUUUUCUCACCUUCACAGAUGAUUUGAGCAGAUAUGGGUAUAUCUACUUGAUGGAACACAAGUCUGAAACAUUUGAAAAGUUCAAAGGAUUUCAGAGUGAAGUAGAAAAUCAUCGUAACAAGAAAAUAAAAUUUCUACGAUCUGAUCGUGGAGGAGAAUAUUUGAGUUACGAGUUUGGUUUACAUUUGAAACAAUGCGGAAUAGUUUCGCAACUCACGCCACCCGAAACACCAUAACGAAAUGGUGUGUCCGAACGUCGUAAUCGUACUUUACUGGAUAUGGUAUGAUCUAUGAUGUCUAUUACUGAUUUACCGCUAUCAUUUUGGGGUUAUGCUUUAGAGACGGCCGCAUUCACGUUAAAUAGGGCACCAUCAAAAUCCGUUGAGACGACGCCUUAUGAACUGUGGUUUGGCAAGAAACCAAAGUUGUCGUUUCUUAAAGUUUGGGGCUGCGAUGCUUAUGUGAAGAAACUUCAACCAGAUAAGCUCGAACCCAAAUCGGAGAAAUGUCUCUUCAUAGGAUACCCAAAAGAGACAAUUGGGUACACCUUCUAUCACAGAUCUGAGGGCAGGAUUUUCGUUGCUAAAAUCGGAUCCUUUCUAGAGAAGGAGUUUCUCUCGAAAGAAGUGAGUGGUAGGAAAGUAGAACUUGAUGAGGUAACUGUACCUGCUUCCUUAGUUCAUCACAAGAACCGGUUCCUGUGACAACUACACCAAUUAGUGACGAAGCUAAUGAUAUUGAUCAUGAAUCUUCAGAUCAAGUUUCUACUGAACCUCGUAGGUCUACCAGAGUAAGAUCCGGACCAGAGUGGUACGGUAAUCAUGUUCUGAAAGUCAUGUUACUUGACCAUGGCAAACCUGCGAACUAUGAGCAAGCGAUGAUGAGCCCAGAUUCCACAAAAUGGCUUAAAGCCAUGAAAUCUGAGAUAGGAUCCAUGUAUGAGAACGAAUUAUGGACUUUGGUUGACUUGCCCGAUGAUCGGCAAGCCAUUGAGAAUAAAUGGAUCUUCAAGAAGAAGACUGACGCUGAUGGUAAUAUAACUGUCUACAAAGCUCGACUUGUUGCAAAAGGUUUUCGACAAGUUCAAGGGAUUGACUACGAUGAGACUUUCUCACCCGUAGCGAUGCUUAAGUCUGUCCGAAUCAUGUUAGCAAUUGCCGCAUUUUAUGAUUAUGAAAUUUGGCAAAUGAAUGUAAAAACUGCAUUCCUGAAUGGAUUUCUGGAAGAAGAGUUGUAUAUGAUGCAACCGGAAGGUUUUGUCGAUCCAAAAGGUGCUAACAAAGUGUGCAAGCUCCAGCGAUCCAUUUAUGGACUGGUGCAAGCAUCUCGGAGUUGGAAUAAACGUUUUGGUAGUGUGAUCAAAGCAUAUGUUUUAUAAAAACUUUUGGAGAAGACUGUAUUUACAAGAAAGUGAGUGGGAUCUCUGUAGCAUUUCUGAUAUUAUAUGUAGAUGACAUAUUGUUAAUUGGAAAUGAUAUAGAAUUUCUGGAUAGCAUAAAGGGAUACUUAAAUAAAAGUUUUUCAAUGAAAGACCUCGGUGAAGCUGCUUACAUAUUGGGUAUCAAGAUCUAUAGAGAUAGAUCAAGACGUUUAAUUGGACUUUCACAAAGCACAUACCUUGAUAAAGUUUUGAAAAGGUUCAAAAUGGAUCAGGCAAAGAAAGGGUUCUUGCCUGUAUUACAAGGUGUGAAGUUGAGUCAGACUCAAUGCCCGACCACAGCAGAAGAUAGAGAGAAAAUGAAAGAUGUUCCCUAUGCUUCAGCCAUAGGCUCUAUCAUGUAUGCAAUGCUGUGUACCAGACCUGAUGUAUGCUUAGCAAUAAGUUUAGCAGGGAGGUACCAAAGUAAUCCAGGAGUGGAUCACUGGACAGCGGUCAAGAACAUCCUGAAAUACCUGAAAAGGACUAAGGAUAUGUUUCUUGUUUAUGGAGGUGACAAAGAGCUAGUCUUAAAUGGUUACGUCGAUGCAAGUUUACACUGAUCCGGACGAUUCUAAAUCGCAAACCGGAUACGUAUUUUUAUUAAACGGUGGAGCUGUAAGUUGGUGCAGUUCUAAACAAAGCGUCGUGGCGGGAUCUACAUGCGAAGCGGAGUACAUAGCUGCUUCAGAAGCAGCAAAUGAAGGAGUCUGGAUGAAGGAGUUCAUUUCCGAUCUAUGUGUCAUACCUAGUGCAUCGGGACCAAUGAAGAUCUUCUGUGACAAUACGGGUGCAAUUGCCUUGGCAAAGGAAUCCAGAUUUCACAAGAGGACCAAUCACAUCAAGAGACGCUUCAAUUCCAUCCGGGACCAAGUCCAGGUGGGAGACAUAGAGAUUUGCAAGAUACAUACGAAUCUGAAUGUAGCAGACCCGUUGACUAAGCCUCUUCCACGAGCAAAACAUGAUCAGCACCAAGACUCCAUGGGUGUUAGAAUCAUUACUGUGUAAUCUAGAUUAUUGACUCUAGUCCAAGUGGGAGACUGAAGGAAAUAUGUCCUAGAGGCAAUAAUAAAGUUAUUAUUUAUUUCCUCAAAUCAUGAUAAAUGUUUAUUAUUCAUGCUAGAAUUGUAUUAACCGGAAACAUGAUACAUGUGUGAAUACAUAGACAAACUUAAUGUCACUAGUAUGCCUCUACUUGACUAGCUCAUUAAUCAAAGAUGGUUAUAUUUCCUAACCAUAGACAUGUGUUGUCAUUUGAUUAAAGAGAUCACAUCAUUAGGAGAAUGAUGUGAUUGACUUGACCCAUUCAGUUAGCCUGGCACUUGAUCGUUUAGUAUGUUGCUAUUGCUUUCUUCAUGACUUAUACAAAGUUCCUACAACUAUGAGAUUAUGCAACUCCCGUUUACCGGAGGAACACUUUGUGUGAUACCAAAUGUCACAACGUAACUGGGUGAUUAUAAAGGAGCUCUACAGGUGUCUCCAAAGAUAGAUGUUGAGUUGGCGUAUUUCGAGAUUAGGUUUUGUCACUCCGAUUGUUGGAAAGGUAUCUCUGGGCCCUCUCGGUAAUGCACAUCACUAUAAGCCUUGCAAGCAAUGUGAUCAAUGAGUUGGUUACGAAAUGAUGCAUUACGUAACGAGUAAAAAGACUUGCCGGUAACGAGAUUAAACUAGGUUUUGGAUACCGACGAUCGAAUCCCGGGCGAGUAACAUACCGAUGACAAAGGGAAACACGUAUGUUGUUAUGCGGUUUGACCGAUAAAGAUCUUCGUAGAAUAUGUAGGAGCCAAUAUGAGCAUCCAGGUUCCACUAUUGGUUAUUGACCGGAAAUAGUUCUAGGUCAUGUCUACAUAGUUCUCGAACCCGUAGGGUCCGCACGCUUAACGUUGCGAUGACAGUUUUAUUAUGAGUUUAAAAGUUUUGAUGUACCGAAGGUUGUUCGGGGUCCCGGAUGUGAUCACGGACAUGACGAGGAGUCUCAAAAUGGUCGAGACAUAAACAUUGAUAUAUUGGAAGCCUAUAUUUGGAUAUCGGAAUUGUUCCGGGUGAAAUCAGGAUUUUUCCGGAGUACCGGGGGGUUCCGGAGCCCCCCCGGAGGUUAAUGGGCCUACAUGGGCCCUCAGGGAGAAGAGGAGGGCCGGCCAGGGCAGGCCGCGCGCCCCCUGCCCCUAGUCCGAAUAGGACAAGGAAGGGGGGGGGCGCCCCCCUUUCCUCUUUCCCCUUCCCCCUUUCCUUCUCCUACAAGGCAAGAGGGGGGAGUCCUACUCCCGGUGGGAGUAGGACUCCUCCAGGCGCACCCCUAGGGGCCGGCCGCACCUCCCCCUCCCUCUUUUAUAUACGGGGGCAGGGGGCACCCCAUGACACACAAGUUGAUCUUCGUGAUCGUUCCUUAGCCGUGUGCGGUGCCCCCCUCCACCAUAUUCCACCUCGGUCGUAUCGUUGCGGUGCUUAGGUGAAGCCCUGCGUCGGUAGAACAUCAUCAUCGUCACCACGCCGUUGUGCUGACGGAACUCAUCCUCGACACCCUGCUGGAUCGGAGUCCGGGGAUCGUCAUCGAGCUGAACGUGUGCUGAACUCGGCGGUGCCGUACGUUCGGUGCUUGGAUCGGUCGGAUCGUGAAGACGUACGACUACAUCAACCGCGUUGUCAUAACGCUUCCGCUUUCGGUUUACGAGGGUACGUGGACACACUCUCCCCUCUCGUUGCUAUGCAUCACCAUGAUCUUGCGUGUGCGUAGGAAUUUUUUUAAAAUUACUACGUUCCCCAACACACAGGAUCAAAAAGGAUUCUAGAGACAAGAGGGAGGAUCCAACCUGAUACACAUAGGUGCCACGAUUGCU